rnacentral:rRNA from 1 species
AGCAGCCGCGGUAAUUCCAGCUCCAAUAGCGUAUAUUAAAGUUGUUGCAGUUAAAAAGCUCGUAGUUGAAUUUCGGGAUUGGCGCAUCGGUCGUGCCUCACGGGGUAUGAACUGGUGCAGUCAAUUUCUCACCUUCUGGAGAACCGCGAUGUCCUUAAUUGGAUGCCGCGGGGAACCAGGACCUUUACUUUGAAAAAAUUAGAGUGUUUAAAGCAGGCAUUUUUGCUUGAAUACAUUAGCAUGGAAUAAUAAAAUAGGACGGCAUGGUUCUAUUUUGUUGGUUUCUAGGACCACCGUAAUGAUUAAUAGGGAUAGUUGGGGGCAUUAGUAUUCAAUUGUCAGAGGUGAAGUUCUUGGAUUUAUUGAAGACUAACUACUGCGAAAGCAUUUGCCAAGGAUGUUUUCAUUAAUCAAGACGAAAGUUAGGGGAUCGAAGACGAUCAGAUACCGUCGUAGUCUUAACCAUAAACUAUGCCGACUAGGGAUCGGACG